rnacentral:rRNA from 1 species
AGCAGCCGCGGUAAUUCCAGCUCCAAUAGCGUAUAUUAAAGUUGUUGCAGUUAAAAAGCUCGUAGUUGAAUUUCGGGGUUAGUAGGCUGGUCAUGCCACCGGUAUGUACUGGUCUUUCUGAUUCCUCCUUCCUGAUGAACUGUAAUGCCAUUAAUUUGGUGUUGCAGGGAAUCUGGACUGUUACUUUGAAAAAAUUAGAGUGUUUAAAGCAGGCUUUAAGCUUGAAUAGAUUAGCAUGGAAUAACGAAAUAGGACGUUUGAUCCUAUUUUGUUGGUUUCUAGGAUUGACGUAAUGAUUAAUAGGGAUAGUUGGGGGCAUUAGUAUUCAAUUGUCAGAGGUGAAAUUCUUGGAUUUAUUGAAGACUAACUACUGCGAAAGCAUUUGCCAAGGAUGUUUUCAUUAAUCAAGAACGAAAGUUAGGGGAUCGAAGACGAUCAGAUACCGUCGUAGUCUUAACCAUAAACUAUGCCGACUAGGGAUCGGAUGAUGUUAAUUUUUUAAUGACUC